ensembl:lncRNA
CUCACAAUUUCAGAAACCUCAUGGCUAGAAAGCUGCAUUAUAGAAAGAUGUCACAUUCCCCAACACAUAAAAGUGAAAAAAAGCUAUAAUGUCAUAGAUUUAUAACUUGCCCAACAAAAAUACUGUUACAAAUUUUGCACUAAAGAGCACUUUUUUCCCUCAAGCAAGCAAGGUGUUAACUGUUUUUACUUUUCAUAAGCUUUGUGAUCAUAUUUGUGGGGCUCAAGGCUAGUUUUGAAAUGGCUAUAAAUUACUAUAAUUUGGCAGCAAUGUUUUGUAAACAUAGAGGAUACACAUAAAUUUUAGUUUAUUUCCUGCAAUAAUCAUUCAGAAUUAUUUCAUAUAAAUGGCCCCUAUAAUCUAAAGCUUGCAGGUUUGAUAUUAAGCACACCUGGCAAGUAGAACUUGAAUUUGCUUUCAUGCACUGUAAACCAGGAAAACUCUACAUGAACCCCAUUUAUGAUCCAGUUUUGAUGACCUUUGAGAACUAAAGAGCAGGCCAAGCUUAGUUCUGUUAACUGUUGUCAUUUCAUCCUAGACUAAUAUUUUGUCCCAAGCAGUAAAAUACUGUUUCAGUACAACUCAGUAUUUUGUGACACUUUGGAUUAAGUUUCCAGGAUCUGCUUACAAAGAGAAAAGAUCUAGAAUUAGCAAGGACAGUAGAGCAAUAGAAAUUAUAAAUUGCACUUACUCUCUGUCUAGUCCCACAUAUUUGUGAAGCAGGCCUUUUUGACAUACCAGAAGGAUGAACAGGAAAAAAACAAAACAACUCACUCUUCCUGAACUCAAUAUGAAGCUACUGUUCCUUGCUUCAUCUUCUGUCAGCAUUGUUGUUUCUGUGGAGUCUGUUGAAUGAUCCCCUCCUUUUGAAAACAAUUUUUCUAUUAUCUGUUUUUCUUGAGGAAAAUAAGGUAUUAGCAAGUGAUUUUUUUCAAAUUCAGAACUGAGAAAUUAAGUGUUUUGAUAGAAUUGACAUCUGCAAACUACAACAGCCAUUGCAGGAAGUGCAGCAGAAUUAAAACAUGGCAGUGCAAGAGGAGACUGGCACAAGUUGAAAUACAAAAGUUUCUGUAUAAAAAUAAGAGUGCUUUGUUUGAUUUUGUUUAACUGUGAGGGUGAUCAGACACUGCAGUGGGUUGCCCAAAGAGGCUGCAGUCUCCAUCUGCACAGAAACUCAUAACCCAUCUCGGGAAAUUCCCAGGCAACCUGGUUUGGCUGACCAUGCAUGAACAGGCAGCUGAUGACUUGGAAAGAAAAUCACCCCUGACAAUUUGAGGGAAAUCCUUCAAUAACAUGUGAAUGGUUUUGAGGCUGACUCAACAUUAUUCUGAGUAAAUUUUACCUACUACCUCUUUACUCAUGGUCCAACACCAGUAAUAGUCCCUUAAUUUUGCAUAAUUUCAUCCACAUUUAUAUGUACUUAAGAACAUAUUAAAUGAUGAAGAGUUUUUGGAGGAAAACAAGGAGUCAUACAAGCAUAGGCUUCUGUAGUUGAGAUUCAGCUUGAACAAUUGAGUACAAAGAACUUGGCAUUGUAUAAAAAACCUUGUCUAGUAGGGGCCUAUUCUUGGGAAAGAUGUUAAAAGACUCUUAUGCUUUCCACUGGCUCUCUAGACAGAUGUUUAAGAGCAUAUGGUGAUUUUGGAAGACAAUACUCUUGAGUCAGUACAGCAUGUUUUAUAAUUCUUCAAAUUGUUCUAGACAGGAUGUGAGCUCUUGCCAAAUACAUAAUUGCAGCUAUAUGUGCUUACUUACGUAGGUGUUGGAGUUCUAAUUCGUUAUUGCAAAGCAUUCGGUAGCAACCUAAGUACAAAAUGCAAUAUAUAUAUAAUUAUAUAUUAGAUAAUAAUUAUAUAAUAAUAUAAUAUAUAUAAUAAUAUAUAUAACAUAUAUAAAAUGUAUAUAUAUAAUAUAAUAUAUAUAUAAUAUAUAUAAUAUAAUGAUAUAUAUAUAUACACACAUAUAUAUGAAAUAAAUAUUCCCUAGCUAAGUGCAUCACAGAAACAUUGCCUUUGAGAAACUAGCCUUUCCACUCACCACAACCCAAAAGAUACAGUUCUAUCACUUUUCUAAGCCAGUCUAGAUGUACCCAGGCACAAAUCCCAUUUUUUGAACCCUAUGAAGCUUUUGUUUGUGCAAUGCUGGUAAGAGGGGGAAAAAUUCUGAAACUGGAGGAAUAAGGAUAUAUAAUGUAUAUGAAUAUAUACAUAUAUAUGUACUUUCUGUACAGACGUUUGAAUCAUAAUAAAGAGAAAAGUACUGGAUACAGUCUAUGACCCUCCCAGGUUUCUCUUGUGAAGAAGAUCAGAGUUGCUGCAUUUUCAGCAUAGUGAUCUAAACACAAACCA